rnacentral:rRNA from 1 species
UGGGGAAUUUUGGACAAUGGGCGAAAGCCUGAUCCAGCAAUGCCGCGUGUGUGAAGAAGGCCUUCGGGUUGUAAAGCACUUUUGUCCGGAAAGAAAUCCUUGGCUCUAAUACAGUCGGGGGAUGACGGUACCGGAAGAAUAAGCACCGGCUAACUACGUGCCAGCAGCCGCGGUAAUACGUAGGGUGCAAGCGUUAAUCGGAAUUACUGGGCGUAAAGCGUGCGCAGGCGGUUUGCUAAGACCGAUGUGAAAUCCCCGGGCUCAACCUGGGAACUGCAUUGGUGACUGGCAGGCUAGAGUAUGGCAGAGGGGGGUAGAAUUCCACGUGUAGCAGUGAAAUGCGUAGAGAUGUGGAGGAAUACCGAUGGCGAAGGCAGCCCCCUGGGCCAAUACUGACGCUCAUGCACGAAAGCGUGGGGAGCAAACAGGAUUAGAUACCCUGGUAGUCCACGCCCUAAACGAUGUCAACUAGUUGUUGGGGAUUCAUUCCUUAGUAACGUAGCUAACGCGUGAAGUUGACCGCCUGGGGAGUACGGUUGCAAGAUUAAAACUUAAAUGAAUUGACGGGGUCAUAGCUGUUUCCU